AGUCAAGCAAUAACAGUUGAACCACCAUCACCUGCACCGCCACAACAAUGUGACAACAGAGCUGUGAAAAGAAGACUCGAUACAAAUGGGGAACAUGCUGUUUCUGCAGUCAAACCAGCUACCACAUGUUGCAGUCAUUGUAGUCUGAACGAACUGAAUGUUCUGAAGAAGAGAAAGAUGGAACUACAAAUUAGACUGUACAAGGCCCAGUUGGCGCGACUUGGCGAAGAAUAAAGCAAAUAAUAUAAUUAUAUUAUGUGUAUUUUAUCAAAAAUUACAUUAUUAUUUUGUUAUGAAGAUAAAGUAUAGUUAUAUUUAAGGUUAGUUAUUCUUAAAAAUAACUAUACUUUAUCUUCAUAACAAAAUUAUAAUUUAAUUUUUGAUAAAAUACACAUAAUAUAAUUCUAUUAUUUGUUUUAUUCCUGUUCAUGAACUUCAUCAACUUUAUGUUUUUUUAUGAUUUUUGGACUAAUUGUAGGCAGUAAGUUUGAAAUGUCACAAAUGCUAAAAUAAUUAUUUAAAUUAAGUAUGCAAGUUUGCUUUGUUGAAAGAAGUUAAACCUUUGUUUUCAUGUAUAUUUACCACACUAUUCACACUAGAGUAUAUGUAUGAACAGUAACAUUUAUUAUUGCAUCAACAAUUUAUUGUUAAUAUAUAUCAAUGAUGAUUAAUUAUGUAUUGGAGAAACACAAACACUUUUAUAUGGAAAUGAUAAUCAUUUCCAUUUACAAGUUUUUUGUGUUUUAUUGCAAACACAUUUUUCUAAACUGUUGCUUUUAUGCCUCUAGUAUGCCAGUAUAUUUAUAUUACA